CUACCAUUCGCGGCUUCAGGUGCCCAAUGCCGCUUGGCGGCAACGGGAGAAUCGGGAAGGCGGUGCAAAUCCGCCGCGUGCCCAACGCUGUAAGGAUGAUGACCCCUGCUCAAUGCCACUGGCCCCCAAGGCCGGGAAGGCGCAGGGGCCAGAAGACUCCAAGCCAGAAGACCGGCCUGAAUAUCCAACGCGCU
rnacentral:ncRNA from 2 species